AAAAGACACAAUAUACCCCUCUUUUAAAUCCACUCAUUCGUCUUCUUCCUCUCGAAAGAGAAAGAACAAUCGCUGCAUUGCCGAAUCUGAGCAUUUGUGUUCUUCCUCUCGAACUAGGUACUAUUCCAAGAAACUCACAAGCAACCGGCAACUGGCAACUGAGAACUAGCAACCAACAACUAGCGACGUGCUCACCAGCAUCUUAUUCUCUUCGUACUCUACUGGUUAACCCUCUUCUUUUAUUCUCCACAACGUCCUGUUUCAAGAGAUUCCACCUACAUCCGGCAUCCAGUAAUCGAGGACGUACUCACUGACAUCCUACUCUAUGCAUACUCCUCCUCCAUCGCUUAGCUUUGUUUUUCUUAUCUCCAACAACAGUGUGUCCCCUUCCCAAGAACCCUAAUAGUGUCUUGUUCUCUCCACUCAUUCUCUACAGCGUACUGUUCCAAGAAACUUCAUAGGCAGCUGGCAACCAGCAUCUUAUUCUCUCUAUACUCCAUUGGUUAACCUUCUUCUAUUCCAUAACGUCUUGUGCCAAGAGACUCCACCGACAUCCAGCAUCUGGCAACUGGCAACCGGCAAUCGAGGACGUGCUCACCGACACACUGGUGGUUAAGUAACCUCAACCAAUACAAGAAAAAAUUGAGCAUUAUUUUCUUAUAGUUCUUCCAAUCAGGACUUAAAGCUAUGAUAUGGUUGAUAUCCUGCAACUGAUCAGUUUUGUGGAGUUCGAGCAAAGAGUUUUAUUAUAUGGGUUGUCAGUUGUCACUACGUUUUCCCAAGACUUGCUUCCUAAUUACUUCAUAAGGAGUUCAAGCUUCAUAAGGCAGCUCAACACCAUUUUGUCAAUUAAAGAUGUAUGUGCAUCUUUGGGACUUGAGAGGAAUGUGCAUCAAUGCCCGACAAGCUAAUUUGAUGGAAGCAAAAGCAAUAGAAACCAAAGUUUAUGGCAUUGGAAGCAAAAGUGGAUAUGAUACAAUGAGCACAAGGACACACUCGAAGAAUGACGAUCUUGACUUUGUUCUUCUUUUUUUGUGUAACCUUGAUGUGUUUAAAGGUUGUCUUGUGUAAUGAUACUUAACUUGAUAUUGAAACCAUUAUAUUUGUAGUUUUUUUUUUGUUAUUUUUUAAGCUAGAAAAUCAAUUUUCAAAUGGUCA